UUUCUGGUUGAUCCUGCCAGAGGUUACUGCUAUCGAGGUUCGACUAAGCCAUGCGAGUCGAAUGUAGCAAUACAUGGCGUACUGCUCAGUAACACGUGGACAACCUGCCCUUAGGACGGGUAUAAACCCGGGAAACUGGGUAUAAUUCCCGAUAGAUCUCGUCUGCUGGAAUGCAUCGAGAUCCAAAGCUCCGGCGCCUAAGGAUGGGUCUGCGGCCUAUCAGGUAGUAGUGGGUGUAGCGUACCUACUAGCCUACGACGGGUACGGGUUGUGAGAGCAAGAGCCCGGAGAUGGAUUCUGAGACACGAAUCCAGGCCCUACGGGGUGCAGCAGGCGCGAAAACUUUACAAUGCUGGGAACAGCGAUAAGGGAACCUCGAGUGCCAGGUUACAAAUCUGGCUGUCGUGAUGCCUAAAAAGCAUUAUAUAGCAAGGGCCGGGCAAGACCGGUGCCAGCCGCCGCGGUAACACCGGCGGCUCGAGUGGUAACCGUUAUUAUUGGGUCUAAAAGGAAUUGGCGGG
rnacentral:rRNA from 1 species